GACGAACGCUGGCGGCACGCUUAACACAUGCAAGUCGAACGGAGUUAAUUGGAGCUUGCUUUGAUUAACUUAGUGGCGGACGGGUGAGUAACACGUGAGCAACCUGCCUUUAAGAGAGGAAUAACAGUCUGAAAAGACUGCUAAUACCUCAUAACAUAACGAAGCCGCAUGACUUUGUUAUCAAAGAUUUAUCGCUUAAAGAUGGGCUGGCGACUGAUUAGCUUGUUGGUGAGGUAACGGCCAACCAAGGCGACAAUCAGUAGCCGUACUGAGAGGUAGAUCGGCCACAUUGGGACUGAGACACGGCCCAGACUCCUACGGGAGGCAGCAGUGGGGAAUAUUGCACAAUGGAGGAAACUCUGAUGCAGCGAUGCCGCGUGAGGGAAGGAGGUUUUCGGAUUGUAAACCUCUGUCUUCAGGGACGAUAAUGACGGUACCUGAGGAGGAAGCUCCGGCUAACUACGUGCCAGCAGCCGCGGUAA
rnacentral:rRNA from 1 species